UACUACUCAGCCUUUCUAGCUUUAUCUUAUAUCAUUCACGUCAAGAGACUGCCAAUUUGGUCAAAACUGUUUGCCAUAAAUGUCCUUCCCCAUCCUAUUAUAAUUAUUAUAUUCUUUAUAUAAUAUUUUUGAGCCCAUCACUGAGGAUUGGUGGGUGGCAGCUUCUUAUCUUCUGCAUAUUUCUCUGAGUAUUCCUCCUCUUCAUUUCUAAAGUCUCCCUCCAGCCCAUCUCAGCUAAUAAAUGGCCUCGCUGUUCAUUUCAAGACUGAAGCAUCCAACUCCCAAGACCAGAGUUCAGACAUCCAGCCCACUAAGGACAUCAGGGGUCAGAAGCCACUAAACAGCUGUGAGAAUGACUGGUGACCCACAAUGACUGAAUCAGGCAGGCAAUUAAAGAAGGGUUCAGUCUUGGCCCCAGUGCCAAGGCCCAGCAUCAGCUGAAUCCUGGGAACAAGAUCAUCCUGCUAAACAUGAGCCAUCCUUGCUGGAGUUAAGUAAUCCUGGACUGUAUUUCUUUGAGUAAAAUUGAGUAAAGUUACCAAUUAAAUAUUAUUUUUACCCUUUUA